rnacentral:piRNA from 1 species
UCCCACUGGGAGGUUCUGGGUCCUUUUGCA